UGGGGAAUCUUGCGCAAUGGGCGAAAGCCUGACGCAGCCAUGCCGCGUGAAUGAUGAAGGUCCUAGGAUUGUAAAAUUCUUUCACCGGGGACGAUAAUGACGGUACCCGGAGAAGAAGCCCCGGCUAACUUCGUGCCAGCAGCCGCGGUAAUACGAAGGGGGCUAGCGUUGCUCGGAAUUACUGGGCGUAAAGGGCGCGUAGGCGGAUCGUUAAGUCAGAGGUGAAAUCCCAGGGCUCAACCCUGGAACUGCCUUUAAUACUGGCGAUCUUGAGUAUGAGAGAGGUGUGUGGAACUCCGAGUGUAGAGGUGAAAUUCGUAGAUAUUCGGAAGAACACCAGUGGCGAAGGCGACAUACUGGCUCAUUACUGACGCUGAGGCGCGAAAGCGUGGGGAGCAAACAGG
rnacentral:rRNA from 1 species